rnacentral:rRNA from 1 species
GUUUUUUUAGAAAUAAAUUUAAUUUACAAAUUUUUAAUUUUUUGUUUAUUUAUUUAAUUAAAAAAAUUAUUUAUUUGAAUAUUUUAAGGGAUAAGCUUUAAAAUAAAUUAUUAAAAAUUGGUAAAUUUAUUAUAAAAUGUAUGAAUAGAAUUUUCAAUCAUUUAUGAAUUUGUUAUAAAUUAUUUUAUUAUUUAUAUUAUUUACUAUUAUUUUAAAUUUUUAUAAAAAUUUUUUCAUAAAUUUUUUAUGGAAAUUAAUAAUGAUAAAAUUAGUAUAUUAGUUUUGUAUAUAUAAUUUUAUAUGAUAAGUUUAUAUAAAGAACUCGGCAAAUNUAUAUACUCGCCUGUUUAACAAAAACAUGUCUUUUUGAGUUAUUUUUAAAGUUUGACCUGCCCACUGAAUAAUUUUAAAUGGCCGCAGUAUUUUAACUGUGCAAAGGUAGCAUAAUCAUUAGUCUUUUAAUUGAAGGCUGGUAUGAAUGGUUGGACGAAGUAUAAACUGUUUCAUAUGAAUUUAUUAUAGAAUUUUAUAUUUUAGUUAAAAAGCUAAAAUAUAAUUAAAAGACGAGAAGACCCUAUAAAUCUUUAUAUUUAUUAUUUUUUAAAUUUUUUGGAUAUAUUUUAUUUUAAUAAUAAUAAGUAUUUUAUUGGGGUGAUGUUAAAAUUUUAUAAACUUUUAAUUAUUAAAAUCAUUAAUUUAUGAUUUAUUGAUCCGUUAAUAACGAUUAUAAGAUUAAGUUACUUUAGGGAUAACAGCGUAAUUUUUUUGGAGAGUUCUUAUCGAUAAAAAAGUUUGCGACCUCGAUGUUGGAUUAAGAGAUAAUUUUAGGUGUAGCUGCUUAAAUAUU